rnacentral:rRNA from 1 species
UACGUAGGGUGCGAGCGUUUGUCCGGAAUUAUUGGGCGUAAAGAGCUCGUAGGCGGUUUGUCGCGCUGCUGUGAAAACGCGAGGCUUAACCUCGCGCCUGCAGUGGGUACGGGGCAGACUAGAGUGCGGUAGGGGGAGACUGGAAUUCCUGGUGUAGCGGUGGAAUGGCGCCAGAUAUCAGGAGGAACACCGAUGGCGAAGGCA